rnacentral:rRNA from 1 species
CCGAGUAUGAGCGUUAUCGGAUCAUUGGGUUUAAGGGUGCGCAGGCGGGCUUGUAAGUCAGUGGUGAAAUACUGCCGCUUAACGGUAGAACUGCCAUUGAUACUGCAAGUCUUGUAAUAUGGUUGAGGUAGGCGGAAUGUGUCGUGUAGCGGUGAAAUGCAUAGAUAUGACACAGAACGCCGAUUGCGAAGGCAGCUUACUAAGCCAUUAUUGACGCUGAGGCACGAAAGCGUGGGGAGCGGACAGGAUUAGAUACCCUGGUAGUCCACGCCGUAAACGAUGUUCACUCGCUGUCUGCGAUACACAGUAGGCGGCUGAGCGAAAGCAUUAAGUGAACCACCUGGGGAGUACUAUCGCAAGGUUGAAACUCAAAGGAAUUGACGGGGGCCCGCACAAGCGGAGGAACAUGUGGUUUAAUUCGAUGAUACGCGAGGAACCUUACCUGGGCUUAAAUGUAGAUUGCAUAACUUAGAAAUAGGUUUUCCCUUCGGGGCUAUUUACAAGGUGCUGCAUGGUUGUCGUCAGCUCGUGCCGUGAGGUGUCGGGUUAAGUCCCAUAACGAGCGCAACCCUUAUCGUUAGUUGCCAGCGGGUCAAGCCGGGGACUCUAGCGAGACUGCCACCGUAAGGUGAGAGGAAGGUGGGGAUGACGUCAAAUCAGCACGGCCCUUAUGUCCAGGGCUACACACGUGUUACAAUGGUCGGUACAAAGGGCAGCUACUUGGUGACAAGAUGCUGAUCCCUAAAGCCGGUCCCAGUUCGGAUUGGAGUCUGCAACCCGACUCCAUGAAGUUGGAUUCGCUAGUAAUCGGAUAUCAGCCAUGAUACCGGUGAAUACGUUCCCGGGCCUUGUACACACCGCCCGUCAAACCAUGGGAGCUGGGGGUGCCUGAAGUCUGCCACCGUAAGGAGCGGCGUAGGUAAAUAUAAUGGUU